rnacentral:rRNA from 1 species
AGCGCGCGUAGGUGGUUUGUUAAGUUGGAUGUGAAAGCCCCGGGCUCAACCUGGGAACUGCAUCCAAAACUGGCAAGCUAGAGUAUGGUAGAGGGGUGGUGGAAUUUCCUGUGUAGCGGUGAAAUGCGUAGAUAUAGGAAGGAACACCAGUGGCGAAGGCGACCACCUGGACUGAUACUGACACUGAGGUGCGAAAGCGUGGGGGAGCAAACAGGAUUAGAUACCCCAGU